UACAUAAAAUAUUGUUAUGCAGACAGGUGGAUCUGUGGCAAAGGGACACAAAUCAGUGGCUGGUUUUGGUUUUGAAAUUGCAGUAUUGCUGAAAGGAGAGAUUCCUAAAUAUCUCAGAAAAUUUGGCACAGGCUGACUUCCUGGUGGUUGUGUAGCUGGGACUUGGAAACCAAAUUCUAGAUUGCUAUCCUCUCCCCCUGGUGUCAUGAAAGUAGACUGCUGAGUGCCAUUUACACUUGAGCUGCUAUUAACUGUAUGUAAGGUAAAUUCUCAGCUGCUUUAGCUAGUGUUUUGGCCUUCAAAUAAUAGAAAUAUUUGCAUGCUUCUACAUUUUUGACUUGGUUGUGAAAAUGUCAUGGGAGGGGAUAUGAACACUUCAGCAUCUUAUAGGAGAUUUCAUCAGCAUUAAGAUGUAUUAAGAACCACAGUACUUUGUAUAAAAGUGUUCUGGAUAAUUAAAUUUCGAUCUGUACAGCAAACUGGAGGAAAUCUUGAUCUUGACAGAAAUCACUGAACAUCUUGCUGCUAUAUAUUUGGUUCCAGGAGAGUGAGGAUUUCACCCUCUGUAUCUCUAGCUGAUCAGCAAAGCCUUUAGAAGGCUCCUCAUCUCCUAGGGAGCAGAAGAAAGGCAGAUAAUAUACAUGUAAGGGUACCUAAAUAUAUUAUGGACAUUUAGAUGUUGUUUUGUACACCAUAUAAAAUUACAUGCCAUCUUAGUGAAAGAAAAAGGUGUCAAGACUUUCAAGCUCUGGGGGAUGUCCUUGUUACGUAACUCAACUGUCCAACUUUCACUUAAUUAGCAAGGUUUUGUAUAAAAGCAUACCGACUCAAAGGAUCAUAGCCAUUCCUGUAAUUUGAUUAUAAAUAUAAUGCCUGUGUGACACCUUUCUGCCUAUGAUGUUAUGUGUAAUCCUUUCUGUGUGUGGCUACAGCUCUUGGGAGUUCUAUAUUAAACUCAGUACUGUGGUUACUUGUGAAUGAAAUUACUGGAACAGUGUUGGAGGAAAAAGUACACGGAAGGAUUUAAGGCAGAACAUAGCAAAGCAAAGGCUGCAAUUAUCUGCAGCUGAAAACAAGUAGCUUUUAAUGUGUCCAUUCACCUAAGAAGGAAGGGAGAAUUAUAGACCACAUGCUCUUUCUUUCCCUUUUUCUAUCAUUUCUCUUCUUUUUCCUUUAUACAGUUUAUCACCCAUAAUUUCAGGAUGUGUUUUGUUUCUUUAAGCUGUUUUAUCUAUAGGCUUAUGAGGUCAGUCAUGUGUGAAUUCUUUUGUUAGUCACCUCACCUUUUGCCUUGAUGAUAGAAAAUUGAUCAGGCCUAAAGUACAAGUUCAAUAGACAACCCCCUUGGUCCUUUGUCUAGGAGAAUAGCUACCAUUGAAGGCCAUGAGCAGGUUGCUAUUAAUAUGACAGCCUGCUCUAUCUCCCACUGUAAUUUAUAAUGAAAUACCUAAUCUCCAUUAUUUUGAUCCAAGCAGGCGAUCCCAUGAAAAAGUCUUUUCAUCCAGUUCCCAAUGGCAGUUACAUGAGAAAUGGCAAACCAAUAAUUUUUGUCAAGUUUUUUAAGCCAACAGAAAUGCUUUUCCACUGCUACAGUUUCAAAAGGCACAGAUAAAGCUCAUUCACUGAGAUGAAUGAAAAAGCCAUCUGGGGUUUUUCUUUUUGACUUCCUUUCCUUUUCUCCAUCCUUGUAAUCAAAUUUGAGCAAAAUCAAAUGGGGCUUUCUAUGAAAGUACCUUUUGUUGAUCUGAACGAGCUGGUAAUUUACAAAAUACCCUUCCUUUGUGAGGAAGGCUAAAGAAAAAAAGAAUCAGUAGCUUUUAAAGCUGGGCCUUGGUGGGACUCUAAAUGCAGUGAAAGCAGUCUGUGUUGAGAGAUUGAAAUGCAUUUCAAAGCCAGGCCUGAGUCAGGGUACAGGGAAGAAAAAACCUAUGUGCAUUUUAUAAGAAGAAAAACCUGAAUGGGAAGGGGAAAAGAGAGAGAGGAAAAAAUCUGGAUAAUACAUUAAUCAUUAUUUUGGAAAUUGUCUUCCUUACUGACACAUACUGCGUAACUAGUGAUUGAGAACUUGGAUUUUUGUUCUAUUAUAGGCAUCUCAACAUUUGUCUGUGCUGCUUUAAAGUUUGAGAGGCAAGGAUCCUUGAACACUGCUGGACUAUGUUUUAAAUGUGUAUAUAUAUUUUUUCAACUUUGCUUUUUGUGGUUCUUUUUCUUUUUUUUAACCUUGCCUGUGAAGUAUUAUGGGGAAAAAUACUUGCAGGAAAGCUGAGUUUAUCCUUUUUGGCGUGCUAAUGUUUAUUUUUAUUGUAUUUCUGCUUACCAGAUUUCCUAGUGGUAAUUAUUUCCCAUUGACUCAGACUAAAGGACAGUGUGGACACCUAACAAAUAGUGUGCAGCUGAUAUGGAGAAUAUGCCAAGUCAACUGGAUGAGUCAGCACAGGCAACACAAAGGACUGCAGUUAAAAGCCAGGGCUAGGACUUGGAGGAUGUGUAGGCAAACGGAAGGAGAGCCGGGGGAAGAAAAACCGAAAUGGAUUCAUUCUCUGUCCUGGAUGGAGGAGGAGAGGAGAGGAGAGGAGAAGGGGACGUGCGAGCUUCCUUCAACUGCCUCUGUCCGGUGAAAAGUGCUCAGACCCCCGGGGCUGAGCCGGGCUCAGGAGUCCACGCGGACUUUCGCUUUAAGCUGCCAAUCAAACCGCUAACUAGCCACCACCCUGCGCUGGCACCGACAUGAUCUGCGGGAUCUCCCCCUGUGAGAGGCAACUCAGGCAGCUCGGUCCUCUCUGCCAUCUCAGCACUGCCAGUGGAGAAGCCCAGGAGUGCAGAGCAGUGGCUGAGCAGCAAUUUGAAUAUUCAUAUUUAACUCUUCAAACAACAGAAGAUACUUCAAAACCAUGCUAAGAAGGAUAAGCUUGGAGUGCCCAGUCACCGUGGUAACUGCCAGAAAAAUUCUCCUGAAGUUUGAAGAGGUCAGCUAACGGGGUCAACAACUCUGGCCUCUCCCUGAGCUGGGCCUGGCAGGCUCCAUCCUGCGGUUGGGGUGUUAGCACAGGCUGAGCCCUGGGAGGUGGACCAUUCCAGCUCUGAUAUAAAUUUUUUGAGUCAGUUCACGGCCUGGACUCUCCAGGUGGCCUCCAAAAUCGAUUGUGACCUUGUGACCCUGUCUAACGGAGGCAUAGCAUCCAACCUAAGUAAGGAUUUAGCCAGGAACGACAGCUUUCCACUGAGUGUUAUUGGGGACAGUACAAACAGUUUUGGAAGCAAGGAGGUUCUCACAAUACUGUCAAGAUGCUACAAACCCCAUGUGACAGAGAUUAGAGGGGAAUACUUAUUUGAAGAAAUCUUUGUCUGUAGCUGUAUUCAUCCAUGGGCAGACAUGAAGCAGCCACCUCUGAGCUCGCUGUGAUUAACCCAUCGGCUUGCAAACCCGUCUGAAGACAGCGCUGCGUAGCUGGUAAGAUGCUUGCAUUUCAGCUCAGUACCCAGAAAACUGGGUACCUUCUAGGGUGUUUCUGAAGUAAUGUAGACAAAUUGGAGACCCUUGGUCCUUAGCCAGAGCAGGCACAGGUAACAUACCAAAAUGAUGCUUCAGGGGAGCAGGGAAGAUGUUCAGUUUUUUGUCCUUUGACUGGAGUAAAUUUGAAAGCUAUGGAGAGGCACCAAGCACAGGCUGGGGAACCAGGCUUUGAGGGCAUGGAAACCAUGGAAGAACUUCCAUCACUGAUACUCUGAUGCCCUCUAUCUUGUUUCCACCCAGGGCAAAGCUCACUGCCCCACCACCUGGGCUGUAAGUGAAUGAUACUUCCUUCAUGACUCACCAUACCCCCACGUUUGUAGCUCAUCCCCUGGUGCCUGGCAGAGCACCCGGGGCCAGGCACACUGCAAGACCCUGCUGUAGGAACGUAACUAAGAAAUGCAGUUGGGAAGGCCAAGGAAGUGUUCUAUCAGUAGCUGUGUAAAGGUAGGGGUAGCUGUUCCAGCACAGAGGGCAGGUAUUGAAACGUUUCACCCAUACCUACCGCAGCAAAGUUGUGGUCGUUAACUUGAGUGACGGGAAUGGGGAACUGGGAUGUCUCAGCCCAGACUCCCUCAAGCCUUGAUUUGGUGGUUGAGAUCUUGAACAUAGCUAGAGCCUACGACAUUAAAGGCUUUAUAAAAGCAACAGUGCCAGUUUAAAACCAACCUCCCACAUCACCAGCAGCCCCAGCAGGUGUAACGUGAUCCAGGCAGCCCAAGCCAGUGAGUAAACAAGCUGGGGCUUUCUGAAAGAGUUGCACCAGAGAAACACUCCUCACUGGGAAUUACAGUGGGUGUUUGUGCUAAGCGAUCUGCGCUGCUAUUGAAAGACCUGUGAAAAUGGACAGACUCCUAUGACGGUUAUUUCUUUUUAUUCCAUACAGGUUUUUCCCUCUACACCCAAAACGAGGUAGGGGAAAAAUUGUAGGUGAAAUUUUCCCUAAAUAGCCUGUAAAGUCUAGUGGGAUUGUGCAUGAUGUAGCUCCUUGAACUUCAGUGGGGUCUGUUGCUGGGUUUUCCAGAGAAAGCCAGAGAAAACAAUCCUACUGCUUCAAAACUGCCAAGCCAGUCAGUGGCAUUUAAUAUUGUCCCCAAGGAAGCUGCUUCCUUUUGUUGUGUUCCCAGUCCCAUCUCCAGUGAGCAAUAUUAACUUCAGGGCUUUUUACUUGGCUCCAACAUUGGUUACUUUUUCCUCCUUCAACGCUGACACUUAAGCCUCCCGGCCGUGGUGAAUUCACCCUCUGUAGGCAGCCCUGCUGCCCUCAGCUCUUCCCUGGCGUUCCUCUGGGUCCACUGAACGGAGGUGCACCGCACCAUUUUAGAUCAUCUUGGUGUUACUGCCUGGCUCCCUAGCUGGGAGAAAUGCGUAGAAGUUAAAAAAGGUGCUAAUCUGUCCAAGUAGAGCCUGGAACUUGACAAGUAUUAUGGGUUUGGCAGGCUCUAAGGCUCGCCGCAGAGUCCUUGGAGCAUGCAGACGGUGGGCAUGCUACGCUGAGGUCCCGGCAGUUCAGCUCUGCUCCAGCAUUUCUGCCUCCCAGCCUGGGUCCCAUCCUGCCCCAGAGAGCCUCUCCCCCCUCCCCAUGCCCAUGCUCUGGUUUCUCAUGACUUAUGAUAACAUAUAAGCAGCUUAGAGAAUUUUUUAUCAGAAUAAGUUGAACACAAUGCAACAUUUAACUCUUAAUGACAGCCACCUCUGACUGUGAGUGACAUGUUAUAAAUUAUGUUUGAACUGAAUUUUUUUUUCAGAGGCAGAUAUUCCCUCUGCCACCCAGUCAGCCCUGUAACGUUGCACUUGUGGCCUUAAUCCCACUUGGAUGUGUGCCCUGCUGCCUCCACUUUCCGUCACUUGGGUACUUUAGUAUUCUUGAACAAGUGAACAAUCUUUGUUUCUGUACCUUAUUAGGCCAAAGACCAUAGCAGCUCGCGAUGGCAUCAGCAGGCCCUGCAGGCAGGAUUCUCUGCAGACACAGCCAACCUCCAACAAACCCCUUUUUAUCCUCCUGUUUCUAGGAAGAAUUAUGAUGGUGGUGCCCUGCUGUUGAUCAGUCAAAUCUGUGGUAGGCCUAGAGAUAAGUCCUGUAAGCGUGGUGUACUGUAAAACAGCGGCUCCCAUUCAUUAGUAGCUUGUGUGUAAUAAACCACCCAAAGGAGGGGGGUGGGGAGGGAGAGGGACGAGCAGCUGCAGUAUGCAGGAGCAAACAACACAACUCAUUCUUGGGAGCCAAAACUUUCUAAUUUGCUGCUGGGCUGCUGGGAGCACUCAAAUUCUUUCUGAUAAUGCGCUCGUGCCCUCAGUGCUUCUCUCUGCCUUUCCCGAGUCCUGCUCCCUUGAGGUCCCUGAGUCUGGGAUAGUUUCGCUUUGAACCCAAAACACAGAGGGUAGCUGAGCGGGGAGGAGGGGAGCCCAUCGGCUGCCCAAUGUUUGCAGACUCCAGCGUAAGCAAGCGGUGUACUCUGAGACAAGUCGUUCUGCCGCGGAAUGGCUGUUGCACGUAUCUGCUUGUGCAGUGAGUAAACAAAGCAUCACAUGGGCUGCAGAGCAAGCACAAGAUGUGGAGCGAACCCAUGUGUAUCUGAGGCAUGCAGGAGGAACAGAGUAUCUCAAAUGUUGAUUUGAGAGCCUGAUGGUGUAUUUAGAAACCUGUGUCUCCCAAGAGGCAAAAAACCCCAAGCAAACCUCAAAUCAUUAAUAGCUGAAGUUACUUGGCUUAAUUUCUACUGUUUUUUCACACGUUCCUGUAAAUAUGUGACUGUGAUAUUUCCCCAUUGAAAAUGCUUAUAGGCCUGUGAAUUUAAAUGGAAUCUGCCAAGUGUAGCGUAGGAUGUUGCAUGUGUUGAGACGUCAGUAGUCCCUAACACUUGCAUAGCUGUGAAUAUGUUGGUGCUUCAGGAUCUCAGCCUUGGACCCUCCAACUGUCUGUAAAGCACUUCAUUGCUUUGUAAUUGAAAUUACUGUGUUUGCACAACUGCUCUAAUAGACCGGACCUUUGUACCAACAUUUGUACUGUCACAGGAAAAUGAAUUUAUUUUCAGAUAGAUGCUGCUCCAGAGGAGGGCUGUACCCUUGCAGGAGAUGACAGUGACUGCUUUUUCACAGUGAUGUGCCAGGCUGUGACGGUGCUGGGACUGCCUCCUAACAUUUGUGUAGACAAGGGCUACUUUAAUGGCAAAUUCAGGCUUGGGCCAAACUGCGAGUACUCUUUAUGUGGCCAAGGCAAAAUCACAGAUUUGAGCUUUUCCACUUUCCUGCUGGAGAUCCAUCUUUCUUUCUGCUCUCUGGGAGGAGCUGUGCUGUGUUGCCAGAUUCUUAAGCUCUGAAAUGAGAGGUGCUUCUGCCAGACUGCUGCUUGGUGAGGUUACCCAGUGGGCUGAGGUAAAAACGUCUCAAAAGAGCCCUUGUGUGCAUCCACAAAAUGGUGUUAACGAAACCUGGGUACAAAAUGGUUUUCUCAUCCGAAAGUUUAGGUCAUGCAGUUUAGCUGGUCCGCCACUAUGAGUUCUGAUUGUGGCAUUUUAGCAUGUCUGACAAAGUCAAAUCCCCCAAGCUUAGGUAGGUAGGUAGGUAGGUGGGCAGAUACCUUUAUAAUAAAAAUUCUCAGGUCAGUGCCAAUUUCCAGCAUGGAGCCUGACUUCACUAUGCUGUUGCCAGGAUUUCCAGCUAGAAUUGCAGUGAGGAGGAUUUUAUGGGAAUCUCUCCAUGACUUUUCAAAGAAAAUUGCAAGGUAACAUCUCUGGUAAUUGUUGCAUGUCUUCACUAUGUGAGUAGAUGUGUCUGUAGCAGAGAAGCACCAGCAGGAAAGCUCCAGCGCUGGUCAGGCAGACCUGCUCCCCGAUGGCAGGCAGCGCCCAGCAGUUACCUGUCUGCGAUCAGGUUGUCAGCAGAAGGUUUGAAGUUACAGAUGAGAUCAGAAAACUGAGUGACUGGGCUGGGUAGGUACGUAAUCAGGGGAGGGAGUUUUUUUCUGAGGGUUUGAGCCCCAUCUCCAACACAAGCAAAGCCAUGUAAUCCUUUCCUUGCAAUUAGAGCUGCAAAAUAACCCCUGGGCCAGAGCACUCACGCAAGGACCAAUUAGACAAGCUAGACAGUGGGAAAAGCUAAAAAUAGCAAAUAAUCUGCCUCCACAAAAAUACCUUGAAUUGUUUGAAAAGGAUGUUUUCUGAAUUUCCUGGGAAUCAUUUACUGGUUUUAUAUUUUCAUAGUGUUCUGCCAGAAGGGCUGUAUUCUAACCGUUGUUUGACAGAGGUAAACAUGAGUACCCAACUCUCUUCUUACACUUGAGACACUGAACAAAGCUGAGUAAGUUCUGAGAUUUUAAUAUCUAACCAACUGAAAUUGGGGGAAAUGAAUUUUUUCAUAUUGAACUGAGGCAAAAUAUGCCUUAGUGCUCUUUCAAGAAAAGCUGUCUAAUAAUCUGGGGGUAAAUAAUGACUUAUUUGGAGUUGUUUAAUGACUCAACCCAGUUUUCUUUAAAAAAGGAUGUAUGAAUCAAUUAUAUUCAACCAUUAGUUGAAUCCAAACUAUUAUAAUAACUCCUUUUGGAAAAUAUAUUAUUUGUGAAAGGCUGACAAUGGCUGACUUAUUUUGCAGCACUCCUGAGCUGGAUGAAAUGUAAAAAUAAAAAAGCUAAUCAGAACAGAAUAUUUUUAGUCUUUUGCAGGGAACUAUAGAUGAUGCUAUGUUAUUAAGAAUGAUCUUAAAGGAUGAUUUGACUGUUUCUGAUGCAUUUUAAUAAAUGUAACAUAACUCAGACCUGAGGCUUGCAAGCAAAAUGGUGUGUUCAGAAUUAGCUGUUUAUUAAUGCAUGUAAAAAAGGGGUUAUAGGUUGCUAUGAUUAUUAUUUUUUGCUGGUGACUUGCAUAAUACUGUAUGAAAAAUGCUGUGAACAGUAAAUGACAUUCUGUUCUGUCUUCUCUAUCUACAGGAGAUAAUUCAAGAGGAAAAAAAAAACCCUAUAAAAUUAAACAGCAAACUCUGUGUAUCUGUGUGCACAUACACGUGUGUAUGCAUGUACUGUUGCUGGCAGGCUUGUUUUCAAGUGGAGGGUUCAGUGAUGGAUGUUUCAGCAUAAACUUUAAGUGUGUGGCAGACUGUGUUUUGUGUGGUACCUGCAGCUUAUUUCAUGAGCUGCUCUUUCCCAUUCCAGGCAAGCGUAACGUGUCGCAGCACUGUCAGCACCCCACCAGCCUCGUGACGGGGAUGCUAUAUUGAAAUUCCAGGAGCUAUUUUCCCACUGCUGACUUGGAGCAGGAGUGACUGUGGUGGUGAAGGGGGUGCACCGGGGCCAGACGGGCUCUCGGGGUGCUGUGUGGUGGUGGGAGGUGUCGCUGGCCCUGGCGUUCCUGCAGGUGUGACCAUUGGAAGGGUCUCUGGCCGCGCUGCAUCCAUGUGUGUGAUGUGCAUCUGGGCGUGUGAGCACGGCGGGUGUUCGCUGGCCUGGCUGCUGGACACGUGGUGACCGGGGCUGGGGAGAGCAGCUGUGGGGCUGCUCCGGGUGGUGGAGUUGCUGAGAUCCACCCCAUCCCUCCGGCUCGGCAGUCUCAUGGCCUGUGUGAAACUGCACAAAGUUUCUUCUAAACGUGAAUUUAAUGUGCUUUCAGCCUUGACAACCUCCUUUUAAAUGAAACCAUUUAUGCUGAGCAAAAGGCACAUUUGCCUCUCCAAAUAAAUGGAAUUAUGGUUCCAAAAUCUGACUUAAUCCUGAAGCUCUUACACUGUACAGUAAGUAGAAAAGAAAGAGGAUUGCUUGGAGGAGCAGGGGUUAGCAGGAUCAGGCUCCAUUUUAUAUAAACUCGCUUGUUUUCCUUCUGAUAUUUAAUAUAUCUUUUUCAGAACUCCCACUGGCUGUUUAUCACGAAGUCAAAGUAACUUCAAAUCUGUUACCUAAUGGUAAACAAACUAAUAAUUGAAAAUAAUGAGGGAUGGUACAGAGAGUGCCCAUCCAGCUUUCCUGCUAGGAAAAUUUGAGGAUUGUUAAAGAAACCAAAACUGCUGUUCUUCCAGAUGUAUUUUUAUCAUGAAGUCACGUCCUUUCUAAAUUCAUAUCAGGACUUUUCUCAAAUACAUUGUAAUUAUUUGUUCUUCUUCUACAUCGUUUUCUUUGUAAAACUGUAUUUAAAAUCUGCAUUGACAUUUCAAAGGAUUUGAGGGAAGAUGUUUACAAAGUAAUGGUGCCAUUUGGAUUUGUUAUAUUUCUAAAAAUGGAAUUUCUG